UCCGGUUGAUCCUGCCGGCGGCCACCGCUAUAGGAAUUCGAUUAAGACAUGCGAGUCGAGAGGCAUAAUGGCCUCGGCGAACUGCUCAGUAACACGUGGAGAACAUGCCCUAGAGUGGGGGAUAGUCAGGGGAAACUCUGCAUAAUACCCCAUAGGUCAGGAGAUCUGGAAUGACUCCUGGCUCAAAGUUCCGGCGCUCUAGGAUUGCUCUGCGGCCUAUCAGGUAGUAGUGGGUGUAAUGUACCCCCUAGCCGACGACGGGUAUGGGCCUUGAGAGAGGGAGCCCAGAGUUGGAUUCUGAGACACGAAUCCAGGCCCUACGGGGCGCAGCAGUCGCGAAAACUUCACACUGGGGGCAACCCCGAUGAGGGAAUUCCUAGUGCUAGGACAUUUGUUCUAGCUUUUCUCAAGCGUAGAUAACUUGAGGAAUAAGGGCUGGGUAAGACGGGUGCCAGCCGCCGCGGUAAUACCUGCAGCCCAAGUGGUGGUCGAUUUUAUUGAGUCUAAAACGUUCGUAGCCGGUCUGGUAAAUCCUUGGGUAAAUCGGGGAGCUCAACUUUCCGAAUUCCGAGGAGACUGCCAGACUUGGGACCGGGAGAGGCUAGAGGUACUUCUGGGGUAGGGGUAAAAUCCUGUAAUCCUAGAAGGACCACCGGUGGCGAAGGCGUCUAGCUAGAACGGAUCCGACGGUGAGGGACGAAGCCCUGGGUCGCAAACGGGAUUAGAUACCCCGGUAGUCCUGGCCGUAAACGAUGGGUACUAGGUGUAGGAGGUAUCGACCCCUUCUGUGCCGGAGUUAACGCAAUAAGUACCCCGCCUGGGGACUACGAUCGCAAGAUUGAAACUCAAAGGAAUUGACGGGGGCCCGCACAAGCGGUGGAGUAUGUGGUUUAAUUCGACGCAACGCGAAGAACCUUACCAGGUCUUGACAUCCAACUAACGAAGCAGAGAUGCAUUAGGUGCCCUUCGGGGAAAGUUGAGACAGGUGGUGCAUGGUUGUCGUCAGCUCGUGUCGUGAGAUGUUGGGUUAAGU
rnacentral:rRNA from 1 species